rnacentral:rRNA from 1 species
AUUGAACGCUGGCGGCAGGCUUAACACAUGCAAGUCGAGCGAGUGGCGGACGGGUGAGUAAUGUAUGGGAAACUGCCUGAUGGAGGGGGAUAACUGCUGGAAACGGUAGCUAAUACCGCAUACCAUCAGAUGUGCCCAGAUGGGAUUAUCUAGUCGGUGGGGUAAUGGCUCACCUAGGCGACGAUCCCUAGCUGGUCUGCGAGGAUGACCGGCCACACUGGGACUGAGACACGGUCCAGACUCCUACGGGAGGCAGCAGUGGGGAAUCUUGCACAAUGGGCGCAAGCCUGAUGCAGCAACGCCGCGUGUGUGAAGAAGGCCUUCGGGUUGUAAAGCACUUUCAGCGAGGAGGCGGUACUCGCAGAGGAAGCACCGGCUAACUCCGUGCCAGCAGCCGCGGUAAUUC